UACAUAGGGUGCAAGCGUUGUCCGGAAUUAUUGGGCGUAAAGAGCUCGUAGGCGGUUUGUCGCGUCGAAUGUGAAAACCCGGGGCUCAACUCCGGGCCUGCAUUCGAUACGGGCAGACUAGAGUUCGGUAGGGGAGACUGGAAUUCCUGGUGUAGCGGUGAAAUGCGCAGAUAUCAGGAGGAACACCGGUGGCGAAGGCGGGUCUCUGGGCCGAUACUGACGCUGAGGAGCGAAAGCGUGGGGAGCGAACAGG
rnacentral:rRNA from 1 species